rnacentral:rRNA from 1 species
AUGUUGUUCGCCAUGUACGGUAACAACCUUACCGGCAAGAUCCCGACAUGGGUCUGGCAACACGGAAAGCUUGAGCUCUUGUACCUGUACAACAAUAAACUCACCGGGAAACUGCCAUGCAAAAUCACGUCGGUGAAUUUGAUAGAGCUUGAUGUGUCGUCGAACAAUCUCACCGGAGAAAUACCGGAAGACUUUGGUCGCCUCAAGAACCUGAGCAUAUUGUUCAUGUACACCAACCAGCUCACCGGCACCAUUCCAGCAAGCAUAGCGAUGCUCCCCAAACUCACGGACAUCAGGCUAUUUGAAAACAAUCUGUCCGGUGAGAUCCCGUGGGAGCUCGGGAAGCACUCGCCCCUAGGCAACCUCGAGAUCUGCAACAAUAACCUCUCGGGCCUGCUCCCGGAUUCACUUUGCGCCAACAGGAAGCUCUAUGACCUCGUCGUCUUCGACAACAGCUUCUCCGGCGAGCUACCGAAGAACCUCGGCGAUUGCGUCUUGUUGAACAACAUCAUGCUCUACAACAACCGCUUCUCCGGCGAUUUCCCAGCCAAGAUAUGGUGGUCAUUACCCAAGUUGACCACUGUGAUGAUACAGAACAAUGGGUUCACUGGGGCUUUACCGGCUAAGUUAUCUGAGAACAUCUCGCUAAUUAAGAUGAGGAACAACAAGUUCUCUGGGUCCAUGCCAACAUCUGCAACCGGAUUGUCCAUGUUCCAGGCGGAGAACAACCUGAUUUCCGGCGAGCUACCGGCGGACAUGAGCAAGUUCUCAAACCUUAUGGAGUUGUCAAUGUCCGGCAACCAACUAACUGGUUCCAUACCGACAUCAAUCAUUUUGUUGCAGAAGCUCAACAGUCUCGACCUGAGCAACAACAGGUUGUCCGGCAUAAUUCCAUUUGACAACCUCGUGUUGCUUCCAUUGCUCAUGCGCCUUGAUUUGUCCGAAAAUGAAUUCUCCGGUGGCUUAUAG